CUGAUGGUGACUGCGGACGACAUUA
rnacentral:rRNA from 1 species